rnacentral:lncRNA from 10 species
UGGGCAGAGCAACUCAGCCAAUCACUGAUGGCCAAAGAAUAGAAACCUGGAAGGCCUCACACUGGCCUUGUCCUAGGUCAACAUGGACCAUCGGUGACUUGCAUCUACAUCACAUGGGAAGGUCAUUCCUUGCAGUAAACCAUUUUCUGGAACACAAAAGGCUUUCUUCUCAACCGACAUCUGGAAGCCAUUCAGUGCUGCAUACACUUCCUGCAGGCUGCCCCUCUGUUCUCUCGCCCUUCUCAUCUCACGUGAUUGAUCACCUGACAAGCUACCUGGAUUUCCUAGUGCCCCAGAGUUGCCCUCAAUCAACACACAACACGUUCCCAUGUGGAAUCUUCACCAAGUGUUCAUUUCUUCCAUUACAGGAAAUAGUAUUCUCUCCCUGUCCCCAAAACUUUGCAGUAAAGACCCCUGACAAUCUAGUUCAAAUGUCAGUCAUGACACUGCUAGCUUUCUUUUUACAAGACUGUGUGAGUCCCCCUGCAAAAAAGUCAAACUGAAUUUUAUCACAUGAUAUCUACUAUAGUCCUUCAAGCAAUUGUCACUGCAUCUUUUCAGUUAUGGUUACCAAAGGUUGUGUUUAAAAUUAGCUCGCAGAAUUUACUGCUGGGUGUGGGGAUGGCCUACAAAUGACCCAAAUGACCAAGAUUCAGUGUUGUUCAAAUUGUGUAUGUUCUGGAAAGGAGUCACUUUGUCUACUUGAACUUUAGAAGUUAUUUACUAAUGUUGCAGUGUGAUACAAUUGAUCGUAAUCUAGGCUGGGCACCGUGGCUCACGCCUGUAAUCCCAGCACUUUGCGAGGCCGACAUGGGAGGAUUGCCUGAGCUCAAGAGUUUGAGAUCACCCUGGGAAACGUGGGGAAACACCGUCUCUACUAAAAUACAAGAAAAAAAAAAAUAGCUGGGUGUGGUGGUGCUUGCCUGUAGACCCGGCUCCUCUGGAGGCUGAGGCAUGAGAAUCACUUGAGCCCGGGAGCCGAGAUCGUGCCACUGCACUUCAGCUUAGGCUACAGGGUCUCAGACUCCAACUCAAAAAACAAACAAACAAACAAAAAAAACAGCACUCUGGGAGGCUGAGAUGGGUGGAUCACCUGAGGUCAGGAGUUCGAGACCAGCCUGACCAAUAUGGAGAAACCCGGCUCUAUCAAAA